rnacentral:sRNA from 1 species
GGGAGAAGACGACGAUGAUGCGGAAAUUAACCCCAAGACUCCUCAGUAGAGCAACUUGACUUUCCAAAUGUUUCAUUCUUUUAAGGUGUAAUUUUUGUCUGUUAAUCAUUCAUACGUUUCUAGAAGGAACCCAGCCAGCCGGCGGAAUGCAAGCAGCAGUAGGAAGCGGAGGCGGGUGCCUGGCAGACCGGCUGUCGGGACUCCAGGCCUGUGGGCGGGGCCUCGGUCCUUGCCGCCGCACAACCCCGUGGACAGAGCUGACUCCAUCUAACUCGUUUCCAAGUGCAUGAUUUUCACUUUCACUUUUCCUUUUUCCUUAUUAUUUUGCUUAACUUGUAAAGUGGCAACUGAAAUGCAUUUCAGAAAUAGGAGGUUUCGUCCAGCACCCUCUGCAGCCGUGGUGCCUGUAGCUCUGGACUUGCCUGGGCCUUUCCCUGUGGGGAGGGCCCUGUAGACCACAUCAGGGUGGGGUGGGGGUCACUUGGCAAAAAGGGCCGAGGUCUGGUGAUGUGGUUCCCAGGAUCUAGAACCUCUCCCACCCCUCCUGCAGUUGGACUGAAUUCUUCCCUUUGAUCCGAAGAAACCCACUUGCUGUUUCCAGCCGCUUAAUCUGCUGAGUGUGCAGCCUGCGUCACCUGUUGUAUGCUAAUCAUCUCAGAAGGGCUGUGUAGAGUAGGGCUGUGUUCUCCUUAGGAUGUUGCUUCUUG